AUUGAACGCUGGCGGAAUGCUUUACACAUGCAAGUCGAACGGCAGCAUAGGUGCUUGCACCUGAUGGCGAGUGGCGAACGGGUGAGUAAUACAUCGGAACGUGCCCAGUCGUGGGGGAUAACGUAGCGAAAGUUACGCUAAUACCGCAUACGAUCUAAGGAUGAAAGCGGGGGACCGUAAGGCCUCGCGCGAUUGGAGCGGCCGAUGUCAGAUUAGGUAGUUGGUGAAGUAAAGGCUCACCAAGCCGACGCUCUGUAGCUGGUCUGAGAGGACGACCAGCCACACUGGGACGGAGACACGGCCCAGACUCCUACGGGAGGCAGCAGUGGGGAAUUUUGGACAAUGGACGCAAGUCUGAUCCAGCCACUCCGCGUGCAGGACGAAGGCCUUCGGGUUGUAAACUGCUUUUGUACGGAACGAAAAAGCUCUUACUAAUACUAGGAGUCCAUGACGGUACCGUAAGAAUAAGCACCGGCUAACUACGUGCCAGCCGCCGCAGUAA
rnacentral:rRNA from 1 species